GUCACAAUGGGCUUGGAAAGGUGUGUCUCUCAUCACUGCCUGACUGGUCUCUGCUUCCUGUUCUGGUCACUGUACCCACUUCCUCUCCAGGGACCAAUUCCUCCCUCAUGCUCCACCCAUGGUUGGGGGUGGCACUGGCCUCACACCCUGGCUUCGGGUGGCAAGUGUCCCAGGCCUGGCCAAUCAGAGUAUUCCACUCGUGACCCCUGGCCAUGCCAAUAGCUAAUGCAUGAGCUGGAAAGUAAAUCCUGUUGAGAAAAAGAAAACUUGGGACGGACUGCCAGGCAGAGGCAUGACAUGAGCCUCUUGCUGCCAACAGUCAUCAUGUGGAGAGGGUCUGCCAGAGAGAGAGGAAGAUAAAUGGAAAACAAACUGUGGAGUAAGCAAGCAAGAUAAAGAAAGAAAGCGGACGGCAUUAUUUGAGCCCCUGGAGCCAGCUGUACCUGACAUUUCAGUUACACACUGAACUGGGAGGAAAAUCUUUCUUGGAGAUCUCCCUGCACAUUGCCCCAUUGGUAAAGAUUAGAUCCCAUUGUCCAUGCUCUGGAUGCAAAGGAGCCUAGUGAGGGCACCACAUGGCAGGGCGUGAGUUCCAGUGGGAGGCCCCAUGCCAGUGUUCCCCUUCUGUUCCCACUCCCAGCUCAUUCUCACACCACAAGGAACCUGAUGCACUCCAGCCUACCUCUAGAGCAGCACUACAGAACUUUCUGCAGAGAUGGAAAUGUUCUAUCUGGGGGUGAUGGCUCACACCUACAAUCCCAGCAUUUUGGGAGGCUGAGGAAGAAGGAUCGCUUGAAGCCAG
rnacentral:lncRNA from 1 species